AGCUCCAAUAGCGUAUAUUAAAGUUGUUGCAGUUAAAAAGCUCGUAGUUGGAUUUCUGGUGGGAGUGAUCGGUCCUUCACUUUGUGUUGGAACCUGAUUGUCUCCUGCCAUCCAUGGAGAGAACUUAUCUGGCAUUAAGUUGUCGGGUAGGCAAUCUCCAUCCUUUACUGUGAAAAAAUUAGAGUGUUCAAAGCAGGCUUAUGCCGUUGAAUACAUUAGCAUGGAAUAAUAAGAUAGGACUAUGGUACUAUUUUGUUGGUUUGUGCACCAUAGUAAUGAUUAAUAGGGACAGUUGGGGGUAUUCGUAUUCCAUUGUCAGAGGUGAAAUUCUUGGAUUUAUGGAAGACGAACUACUGCGAAAGCAUUUACCAAGGAUGUUU
rnacentral:rRNA from 1 species